AUUUGCCGGGACAAAGAGACAUCCAUUAAUUCCAGCCGCCACUCUCAUUCUCCGAGAACAGUGACUGAGUGUGUGUAACUAUUUAAUGACAAAGAAUGAAAAAGAACAAGAUGCGUAUGUGCGACAAACAAAUGGCGACAUCGCGGCCAGACUCUAAUUGUAAAUUCCGAUCUAGAUGCAGAUACAAAUACUGUUUAUUCGUAAAUAAGGAGGAUGACGUAGUGAGGAAAUACUGAUUCAUCGCAUAAUCAAACGAAUUAGAUUCGAAUCGUUUUUUCAUUCGUCAUGGUUAUAGGACAUGCUUAUAAGGCAGUGAAUGUCGUUGUGGAGCAUCUUAAAUGCAAUGCAACGAUAGUGAUGUUUUCAAAAACGACCGUCCACUGAAAAAUUUACAAUGAGUUUACGUUUAUUAUAAUUACAAGAGUCACGUUUAUAUUCCAUAUUAAGAAAGUGUAAGAUAAGAAACAAUUAUUCACCCGAUAUCCUCUUCUGAUUACCAUAUUCUUUCGAACGUUCUGAAUAAGUUAAAACUCGUCAUCGCAUGUAUUUCUGGAUUUUAUGAAAAUGCCAUUCGAAUUGCGGCUUUUUGUUUGCAAGUGUAAAUGUUUUUACUACAUUUCUCAGUUUAUCAGCAACUGCAUCGUAUUUUUGCCACAAUCAUGGCAAUGAUGCGAACGAAGGCGGUAAUUUCAUGGCGUCAUUAUUAUAAUAUUGUUCCGCAACCAAGGCCAUGCUGAGUCCGAAAAAAUUGGGAGGAGGGAGGUCUCGGGAAAUCACUUCACAACCUCCCGCUUGGUACGCGAAAUGGAAAUUGACGACGCCGCCACCAAAGGGAUCAUAACGUAUA